rnacentral:rRNA from 1 species
GCUCAGGAUGAACGCUAGCGGCAGGCUUAACACAUGCAAGUCGAGGGGCAGCGGGGAGGAAGCUUGCUUUCUCCGCCGGCGACCGGCGCACGGGUGAGUAACACGUAUGCAACCUGCCCCUGUCAGGGGGACAACCCGCCGAAAGGCGGGCUAAACCCGCGUACAUGCCACCGGGGCAUCCCGGAGGCAGGAAAGGCUUCGGCCGGACAGGGAUGGGCAUGCGGCGCAUUAGGCAGUAGGCGGGGUAACGGCCCACCUAACCGACGAUGCGUAGGGGUUCUGAGAGGAAGGUCCCCCACACUGGUACUGAGACACGGACCAGACUCCUACGGGAGGCAGCAGUGAGGAAUAUUGGUCAAUGGUCGGGAGACUGAACCAGCCAAGCCGCGUGAGGGAGGAAGGUACAGAGUAUCGUAAACCUCUUUUGUCAGGGAACAAAGACUGGGACGCGUCCCCGGAUGAGUGUACCUGAAGAAAAAGCAUCGGCUAACUCCGUGCCAGCAGCCGCGGUAAUACGGAGGAUGCGAGCGUUAUCCGGAUUUAUUGGGUUUAAAGGGUGCGCAGGCGGUCUGUUAAGUCAGCGGUCAAAGCCCGGGGCUCAACCCCGGCCCGCCGUUGAAACUGGCAGUCUCGAGUUGGAGAGAAGUAUGCGGAAUGCGCGGUGUAGCGGUGAAAUGCAUAGAUAUCGCGCAGAACUCCGAUUGCGAAGGCAGCAUGCCGGCUCCACACUGACGCUGAGGCACGAAAGCGUGGGUAUCGAACAGGAUUAGAUACCCUGGUAGUCCACGCAGUAAACGAUGAAUGCUGGCUGUCCGGGGGGACUGACCCCUGGGUGGCGAAGCGAAAGCGAUAAGCAUUCCACCUGGGGAGUACGCCGGCAACGGUGAAACUCAAAGGAAUUGACGGGGGCCCGCACAAGCGGAGGAACAUGUGGUUUAAUUCGAUGAUACGCGAGGAACCUUACCCGGGCUCAAACGGGGAGUGCCGCAGGCAGAGACGCCUGUUUCCCACGGGACACUCCCCGAGGUGCUGCAUGGUUGUCGUCAGCUCGUGCCGUGAGGUGUCGGCUUAAGUGCCAUAACGAGCGCAACCCCCGCGUGCAGUUGCUAACAGAUAACGCUGAGGACUCUGCACGGACUGCCGGCGCAAGCCGCGAGGAAGGCGGGGAUGACGUCAAAUCAGCACGGCCCUUACGUCCGGGGCGACACACGUGUUACAAUGGGUGGUACAGCGGGAAGCCAGGCGGCGACGCCGAGCGGAACCCGAAAUCCACUCUCAGUUCGGAUCGGAGUCUGCAACCCGACUCCGUGAAGCUGGAUUCGCUAGUAAUCGCGCAUCAGCCAUGGCGCGGUGA